CAUGCAGUCGUGGGGCAGCAGGGGUAGCAAUACCCGCUGGCGACCGGCAAACGGGUGCGGAACACGUACGCAACCUUCCUUUAACUGGAGAAUAGCCCCUCGAAAGAGGGAUUAAUACUCCGUAACAUAUACAUGUGGCAUCACAAGUAUAUUAUAGCUCCGGCGGUUAAAGAUGGGCGUGCGCCUGAUUAGAUAGUUGGCGGGGUAACGGCCCACCAAGUCUGCGAUCAGUAACUGGUGUGAGAGCACGACCAGUCACACGGGCACUGAGACACGGGCCCGACUCCUACGGGAGGCAGCAGUAAGGAAUAUUGGUCAAUGGACGCAAGUCUGAACCAGCCAUGCCGCGUGGAGGAUUAAGGCCCUCUGGGUUGUAAACUCCUUUUAUCUGGGAAGAAAUGCAUUUUUUCUAAAGUGCUUGACGGUACCAGAGGAAUAAGCACCGGCUAACUCCGUGCCAGCAGCCGCGGUAAUACGGAGGGUGCAAGCGUUAUCCGGAUUCACUGGGUUUAAAGGGUGCGUANGCGGGCAGGUAAGUCCGUGGUGAAAUCUCUGAGCUUAACUCANAAACUGCCAUGGAUACUAUUUGUCUUGAAUAUUGUGGAGGUAAGCGGAAUAUGUCAUGUAGCGGUGAAAUGCUUAGAUAUGACAUAGAACACCAAUUGCGAAAGGCAGCUUACUACACAGU
rnacentral:rRNA from 1 species